rnacentral:lncRNA from 1 species
UGGGAACCUCCAUAUGCCGUGGGAGCGGCCCAAGAAAUAGCAACAACAACAACAANNNNNNNNNNNNNNNNNNNNNNNNAAAAAAAAAAAAAAAAAAAGAAAAGCUAAAGUCAGGGUUUCCAAUGUGAGUAACUCAUUGGGAUGGUACUAAAAGAUGCCUUCUUCUAACUCUCCCUACUCCUGUGGAUAACUCUGUGGGUAGGACUGACAUUUAGAGGUCUACAGUACCCACCAUUGAUGUUAAGGUAUGUGAUCAAUUAAUUUUUAAUUUUGGCCAAAUUAAUUUCUGUCAUAACAUGGACUAACAUUUUAUACUUAAUUCAAAGCUAACUUCAUUCAGAAAGUUGUGGCUGGUGUUGUGUCAUUUGAGGAACAGAAGUUUACUCUAAAGCGGUAUUUUCACAUACCCAUGAUGCUCAGAAUGGUCAUUUUCUAGUGUUUAUAUAAUGGUAAGGGUAUUGCAGAUUUGUUUCUAACUUGCUCUUAAAUGACUGAAACACUUAGCAAGGUGUCUUUUUAACUAAUUUUGAUGUUUUAAUAUAGAAUCAGAUUUUCACAAGAGUUGAUAUUAGACCUCAAUUCCAGGAUGUAAAUAAUUUGCAUUUUCUGUGAGUAUGCCAUUUUGUUUAGAAUCAUGUUUACAAAAUUUGUACUAGUCACACACUGCUGAAGCAAUGAGCAAAACAUGGAAAACAUGUAAUGCGCUUAAAAAAACAAAUUGAGAGGAUACUGAACUGUGUCUGGAGGCUCCUGAAACCCUUCCCACAGUUGCUCAUGAAUAAGAGGAAAAGAGAUGAAGAUUUCCUUCAGACCAGCCUAAUCUAAAUAUGAAACUCCCUCCACUUCCUUCUGGUCCCAUUUAUCUCUCUGCUCUUGUUCAGGGGAAUUCCUUUCAUUAUCUAGUUAAUGUAGACAUGUAUUCAGUCUUCACCAUUCAUCUUUUGAACUUGUUUGCAUCAGUGUUGUCCAUCAUUGAUUAAAAGAUCCUAGACUGCAGGGUCAAGUUCUCUUAUACUCUCUUUCUAAAGUGCUUAUUACCAUCCCAUGCUAAGUAGAUAAUGAAUGCAAGUGGUCAAGGUGCUUUUAUUUACAUUUCCCAUAACUUCUGGUGGGAAAAUGUUUUCCUAUAUUUCCUUGCCAGCUGAUGCACCUUUAUAACUAUGGUGAGGCUUGGGAUGGAGGGGGAUGGGAUAUGGUAUAGGGUAGGGUUGGGACUGGAGAGCAAUUUAAGGUGGUGGAGAGGAGCUUGUGCCCUGGAAUCAGACAGACCCAGGGGAAUAUUCACUUCACAACUUAAACUCUCUUUCUGGUCUUCGAUCAUCCAAGCCCACAUCUCUUCAUUUGUGAAACAGGAGUAUAAUACCUAUGUUCUAGGCUGAUUUGUGUUCCCUACAAAAUUCAUAUGUUGCAGUCCUAACCCUGGAGCUAGGAACUUGACUAGAUUUGGAGACGGGGUGUUCAACUGUGGCGCUGGAGUUAAAACAAGGCACUAGAAUGAACCCUAAACUAGUAUGAAUGAUGACCUUAUAAGAAGAGGAAAUUUAGACACAGUCAUGGCUGUUGUGAAGACACAGGGAGGAGAUGCCCAUCUACAAACCAAAGAGAGAGCCUUCCCUUACAGCCCUCUGUGGGAACCAACCUUGACCUCAGAAGUCAAGGCUCCAGAACUGCAAGGCAAUUAAUGCUGGGCAAUGCCAAUGCGAACAAGUUCAAAAGGAACAUGAUGAGACAAUUUCUGUGGUUUAGGCCAUCUGGUCUGUAAUAUUUUGUAAUUGCAGCCCUAUCAAACUAAUAUAACCUACUUCAUGGUAUCAUUUUAAUUAGAUAGGAUCCUGUUUAUAAAGUACUUACCAGGGUGAAUGAUGUAUAAUAGACGCUCAAUAGGUAGUAGUUUAAUAAAAUGGUCAGAGGUGAGAAAAGAGAACAAAAGUGGAAACACUUAGAAAUUGCAUUCUUAAGGCCUACAUGAGCAUGGAGGUAGAUUUGGAAGACAAUACAAAGGAGUUUCUUUUUGUUUAAAUUAGGCCCCAUGCGAACUUGUGAGCAUUUAUGGAUCGACAGUAUUCAAUUGUGUUUUUCUUUGCAGUUGUCCCUUUGGGAUGAUUAAUGAGCCCCAAGUACUAACAGAUGAGCCUCACAGGAGGAUUUAUGAUCUUGAACCAUAGAUUCAGAUGGUGUCUGCAUGUUGAAUGCUUGGUAAAAAUAUGGAAGUAGUGGUGUCCCAAUCUAACUGGUUUCAUUGGAUUGGUUUCACACUUCAUUGCCUUCUGGCAAAGAAUAUUGUGAGCCCAAAUAAUUUUUUAAAUGGCCAGCAUUAAAAUGAGGCCUCCUGCUAUUCACUGAAGCUCUUCUCUAAGUAACCAGAAGUUACUGCAUUUAUGUGGAUUGAAAGCAUAUUUUAAGCAUCACUUAAAUAUUUUAAAUAUCAGUUCUACAUACCAAACAUCAGUCCUGCAAACCUUUCCCCUGUUAACAUUAGUAAGAGUUCUUUUAUUUAUUUGCAAGAUGAAAAAACAUAAGAUUCUUUUUUCUUCGUUUGUACCUCCAAAGAGUAAUUUCCUUUCAAUGUGAAGUUUAUUGAAAUUGUUUAAGUUAGAGUAAUUGCUUCUAAAAUGCCUGAGUUUCUCAUAAGAAUGUCAGGGUCGGCACAUUUCUUAAGAUAUUAGAUUUCUUUAACUACCUUGCCCUUCAACUGUGUUGAUGCGGAUGUUUUAUUAAACACUAAUGGGUCUCCUCGAGUCAUAGCAGCAGAAGUUUAGGGAAGGUCAUUUCGGUGGGGAGGUUAUAUUCAUGAGACAAUCUCCCCCUCCACACACACACCUGUAGUCUUAACCCUUAGCAAAUAGAUUCUCUAAAAGACUAGUUGGAUUUUUUUGUUUUGUUCUGCUUGGUUUUGUUUUAAGGUAAUUUUGUCAAAAAGGCUCUCCUGGCCCAGAAAGGAGACGUGGGCUAGCCCUGAGGAAAGUGACAGACUCCACAGCUGGACUAGAACUCUAGCUUACAUACCAUGAGUCACAAAGGAAGUAUAUAAGUGAUAAUAGCAAGGACUCAGGCUUACCAACUGUUGAUAUCCAGCAAAGUGGGGAGAGUGGUGAGCCUUUCUGACCGGGUAUACACUUCACAGAAGUUUCCAGGGCUGCUCUCAGUUCCAAGAAGGGGUAGUAAAAACUCUGCCUACUCUGUUUCCGGCGGCCACCCUCUUUCCCUGAAGUAUUUCAGAGGCCUUGUAUCUGGCCUCACUCUCUUGACUAACUCCUACCCUCUCCUUC